rnacentral:rRNA from 1 species
UACGUAGGUGGCAAGCGUUGUCCGGAUUUAUUGGGUUUAAAGGGUGCGUAGGCGGUUCUAUAAGUCAGUGGUGAAAUCCGGCAGCUCAACUGUCGAUGUGCCAUUGAUACUGCAGAACUUGAGUACAGACGAGGUAGGCGGAAUUGACGGUGUAGCGGUGAAAUGCUUAGAUACCACCCAGAACUCCGAUUGCGAAGGCAGCCUACUGGAGGUUUACCGACGCUCAGGCACGAAAGCGUGGGGAUCAAACAGG